UGAGCACCACCGAAGAAGACACUGCGCCACGUAGGGUCAAGGGUCAAGACGGUAGCAAUGGAGAGAUGGAGACGUUAUUAUUCACAAUCAUUCAGUAGUUAAAACACAACGUGCAACGUCCACCUGAACAGGUCUCUAGAGAUGUCCGCCUUACAUGUACCGUAUGGCUGCAGACAAAUAUGUAUAACUGCAGCCAGAGAGAGAAUUCUUCAGCUCAGUCCUGGUUUUAACCAAACCUGGGCCUGUGAGACCUGGACUGUCGGCUUGAAGCUCACACACUCAGAGGUCAAACCUUUAAAGGGAGUGAAGACACAAAAGACGAAAAAGCAGCUUAAAGUUCUAAGAAGAAAACUGUUUAACCUCUGCUGACCCACUGGCUCUGAUUAAAGGAAGAUUCCCCUGUUUUUCCUGUGGACCUGCUGUUUGCCCUGCCAGCCUUUUAACCCCCUGAUCACCUCCAAGCGCACGCAGACACACACAGGAAACACAGCCCAAAGACUCAGCAGGUGAGCUGUUGUUUCAAAAGUUUCACACUCGCUGUCGUCGUCAUCAUCAUCAUCAUCAUCAUCAUCAUCAUCAUCCCUUUGUCAGAGCUGUGCUGUUAUGUAAUAUGUAUCCAAGGAGAAGGUGCCUCUCGUACCAGAACCUUGCAGAGGAAGAGCUAAGCUUCUGGAGGAGGGCGGGUCCGACUCCCUGCCCUCCCACAGCUGACUGGUCAUCUGCGAGCACAGAUUUUGGCUGUACGGCCCCCUGCUGUCUCAUUAUGUGUUCCUCCACCUGUAGCCUCUCAGGGACUGUGUCUGUGUGUUUCCACCGUGUGUUUGCAGGGGUUACAUCCACAGCCGCUGGGUGCCUGCUCAACUUUUGUUACUGCAGACAAAGCUUCAUCCUGCCGUUCCUCGCUACUUCUUUAGGUGGACGACUGAGCCCAUAGCUGUCAAGAGUUCAAAUACUAAGACCAUCAUUACCGUCUUCAUCACCUGGACAGGUCACCACUGCAUCACACUAUGACUCAGUGAAUGACCAAACUGAUUGUCAUUUUAUGGACCUCAUGUUUGCAUCACAAACAAACACGCUUUCAAUAUUUACUGUCCAGGCGCAUUUGAACUUGCUGCCAGUCCUCACUGAACUCCAGACGUUUAUGCCAUUGAGAGACGUGAAAGACAGAAAAGAAAAGAGAGAAAACAGGAUUUGUGUGGAGGAAUGUCCCAGGGAGCAGGGAGAGAGUUAACCCUCAGCCAGUCAGUUAAUCCUCUUACUGUCUGUGUUCUCCUCUGACACGUUAACCAGGCAGAGAACACUAAUCCUCUACAGAGCAUAACAGCGCCGCUGCUCCGGGCAGGAGGCAAAAAAAGACCAGGCAGAAAGAAAGGAAGAAAAGAAGGAAGGAGGGAAGUAGGAAAAGGAAAGAUGAUGGAAACAAGGCAGGAAGAUGUUAGUAAAACAGGGAAUGAAGAGUAUGAGGCUGACAGGGCCAAGGGUGGAAGGUGACGUACAGACAGAAAGAAAGGAGUGAUGAAGACAGUGAAUGAAGGCUUGGUAGCAGGUAUCAGGAAGAAUGGAUGGUCUCCGUUGUCCUGCGUCGGUCCUCGUCUCCUCCUCGUCUCCGUUAAGCACAAUAACGUCGCAGCAGGACGCCUCAGGUUGGUUAUUUCAAUCGGAGGAGCCUGGUGGGCGUUUAGCUGAUUACUGCCCCAUCCAUCUCAGCUCAGGAUUUGGCUGCGGGCCUCAGGAAAACUUCAGGAGUGUUUGUUUUUUAUUAGCCUGAGCACAAACGUUGAAGUUUGACUGUGACACAUGCAGAGCGGAGUUAAAUUUACUCCUAGCAGAGGCUGAGUAAAUAUAGAAGAGUUUUGGAUCCGGUCCAUUAAAGCCUCACCGGCCCUGUUCAGGAUUCAGGACGGUGCCUUCACAAACAAAUAAAAAACAAUACACACUUUCACAGACGGUAAUGUUCCCAAUGUAGAAACUGGUUUUACUCCCAGUCCUCCUGGUUCUGGGUCACACACCAGCCUGGUUUGCCACUGAUGUUAGAUUACAUUGGUUCUGCUACUACCCAAACCUGCACACCACCAGGUGUCACUUCAAAUAACAGUGGAGCAAGUCAGACACUAGACAGAGUCAGAAUCUGGACCCAGGUUUAGAAAAUAGCUAACAGCAGCAUAUACUGUACUGUAGUAGCUAACAGCUAAUGUUAGCUAACAGCAGCUAACGGCUAUUAGAAGCUAAUAGUAGCUAACAGCAGCUAACAGUUGAUGAUAGCUUUGUAGGUUUAGUUCAUGUUCUGUUUUGUCAUGUUGACUUUAUGGUGUUGAUUAAACUAUUUUCUUUGU